ACGGGAGGCAGCAGUGGGGAAUAUUGCACAGUGGGCGCAAGCCUGAUGCAGCAACGCCGCGUGAGGGAAGACGGUUUUCGGAUUGUAAACCUCUGUCUUCGGUGACGAACAAUGACGGUAGCCGAGGAGGAAGCCACGGCUCACUACGUGCCAGCAGCCGCGGUAAUACGCAGGUGGCAAGCGUUAUCCGGAAUUACUGGGUGUAAAGGGAGCGCAGGCGGGACAGCAAGUCAGCGGUGAAAUUUAUGGGCUCAACCCAUAAACUGCCGUUGAAACUGUUGUUCUUGAGUGGAGUAGAGGCAGGCGGAAUUCCGAGUGUAGCGGUGAAAUGCGUAGAUAUUCGGAGGAACACCAGUGGCGAAGGCGGCCUGCUGGGCUCUAACUGACGCUGAGGCUCGAAAGUGUGGGGAGCAAACAGGAUUAGAUACCCUGGUA
rnacentral:rRNA from 1 species